ACAUUAUUAAAAUAUAAUCCUAUGUCGACAAUUUUGAUUCUACAUUCUCCCCCUUUGUCGAUGACAUAUAUGUUUUAAUUCAUGUCUAGUCAAUAUUCUAUUUUACCCUUAUGAGCAUGCUCCCCCUGAAUUAUUAACUCAUAAUAUUUAAUUUAAAAGCAGUGGAUCAUGCAUGAUUUCUCCCCCUUAAAACAAUAAGGUAUCGACAAAGUUAAAAUAGAUACCUGUGAAGUAUCUCCCCCUUAAUGAUAGGACAUAUCUAAUUUGUGGAGAAAAUAAAACUUCAUACCUUAUUUAGCUUUGAUCACAAAUUCGAUUUGUGUGGUUGACCAAAUGUGAUUUCUUGCUUAUAAGAGUGUUAGUCAAUCUGGUGAGUCCUGUCUGGUUACGGCAGUCACUCUCAGCAACGCCUUUCAACAAAGACUAGGGUUCCGUCGCUUUACGCCGGACCCCCGGAGAGCUCCCACGGUGCGGAACAAGUUCAUCGUCAAAUCGUCGAGUUAACUCGUAAAUCGCGAUUGGACUACCAAAUCGCCGAGUUUAGGGAUAAGUCGCCGAGUUAGGGCCCAAAUCGGCAGUAUGGUAGACUGCACAUCUCGCCCCUGGAAACUCGGCGAGUUUGCCCUAAAUAGGCGAUUUCCAUACCUGAAUCGCCGAUUUACGAUCGUUACUCUCCGCCAGCCAACGCAAUAAAUGCGGCAAUAGGCGCGAAGUCCGCCUUUGAUCGCGCCCUCCGAGACCCUAUAAAAGGGUCCCAAGGGGACACUCAAAGGCACAACACAAGUUCCACUCUCACCAGAGCAUCACUAAGAAACUCGCCGAUUCUCACUAGAAUCGCCUAGUUUCUACUUGCAG
rnacentral:lncRNA from 1 species